rnacentral:rRNA from 1 species
AGGACGAACGCUGGCGGCGUGCUUAACACAUGCAAGUCGAGCGGAAAGGCCCUUCGGGGUACUCGAGCGGCGAACGGGUGAGUAACACGUGAGCAACCUGCCCCUGGCUCUGGGAUAGCUCCGGGAAACCGGGAUUAAUACCGGAUGUGACCUGCCGCGGCAUCGCGGCGGGUGGAAAGUUUUUCGGCCAGGGAGGGGCUCGCGGCCUAUCGGCUUGUUGGCAGGGUAAUGGGCCUACCAAGGCGACGACGGGUA